GCUCAGGCAGCAGGAGGCUUG
rnacentral:miRNA from 1 species